GAUGAACGCUAGCGGCAGGCCUAACACAUGCAAGUCGAGGGGUAGCAGGAUUAAGCUUGCUUAAUUGCUGACGCCCGGCGCACGGGUGCGUAACGCGUAUGCAACCUACCUUAUACUGGGGUAUAGCCUGGAGAAAUUAGGAUUAAUCCCCCAUAGUACUAAUGAAUUGCAUGGUUUAGUAGUUAAAGCAUUGCGGUAUAAGAUGGGCAUGCGUCCUAUUAGCUAGAUGGUGAGGUAACGGCUCACCAUGGCUACGAUAGGUAGGGGGCCUGAGAGGGUGGUCCCCCACACUGGUACUGAGACACGGACCAGACUCCUACGGGAGGCAGCAGUGAGGAAUAUUGGUCAAUGGGCGCAAGCCUGAACCAGCCAUGCCGCGUGCAGGAAGAAUGCCCUAUGGGUUGUAAACUGCUUUUAUUUGGGAAUAAACCUCUUUACGUGUAGAGAGCUGAAGGUACCAAAUGAAUAAGCACCGGCUAACUCCGUGCCAGCCGCCGCGGUAA
rnacentral:rRNA from 1 species